UACGAAGGGGGCUAGCGUUGUUCGGAAUCACUGGGCGUAAAGGGCGCGUAGGCGGUUUGUCGCGUCUGCUGUGAAAACGCGAGGCUCAACCUCGCGCCUGCAGUGGGUACGGGCAGACUGGAGUGCGGUAGGGGAGAUUGGAAUUCCUGGUGUAGCGGUGGAAUGCGCAGAUAUCAGGAGGAACACCGAUGGCGAAGGCAGAUCUCUGGGCCGUAACUGACGCUGAGGAGCGAAAGCGUGGGGAGCGAACAGG
rnacentral:rRNA from 1 species